ACGUAGGCACCAAGCGUUGUCCGGAUUUAUUGGGCGUAAAGAGCUCGUAGGCGGUUCAGUAAGUCGGGUGUGAAAACUCUGGGCUCAACCCAGAGAGGCCACCCGAUACUGCUGUGACUUGAGUACGGUAGGGGAGUGGGGAAUUCCUGGUGUAGCGGUGAAAUGCGCAGAUAUCAGGAGGAACACCAGUGGCGAAGGCGCCACUCUGGGCCGUAACUGACGCUGAGGAGCGAAAGCGUGGGUAGCAAACAGGA
rnacentral:rRNA from 1 species